rnacentral:rRNA from 1 species
UACGUAGGGACCAAGCGUUGUUCGGAUUUACUGGGCGUAAAGGGCGCGUAGGCGGCAAUUCAAGUCAUCUGUGAAAUCUCCGGGCUUAACCCGGAACGGUCAGGUGAUAUUGUUUUGCUAGAGUGCGGAAGGGGCAAUCGGAAUUCUCGGUGUAGCGGUGAAAUGCGUAGAUAUCGAGAGGAACACCAGAGGUGAAGACGGGUUGCUGGGCCGACACUGACGCUGACAGCGCGAAAGCCAGGGGAGCAAACGGG